rfam:Felis catus isolate Cinnamon breed Abyssinian chromosome A1, whole genome shotgun sequence.
GCCUGGGUGGCUCAGUCGGUUGAGCGUCCGACUUCGGCUCAGGUCAUGAUCUCACAGUCCGUGAGUUCGAGCCCCACGUCGGGCU